rnacentral:lncRNA from 10 species
GUGGACAUGAAUUUUGGAGGGACACUAUUUAACCCACUACUGCUAACCCAGCUUGAGGAGCCUAAGCCAACUGCUGGUCUGUGUGCUUCAUGCACCAAACCCAGCACUUCCAGCCUCCCAGAAGACAGAGUGAGAGCCCCAGAGUGAGAUACAGAAACAUGGAGAUCCCAAACAGACCGAAAGAUGGUGGCAUGGAGGCUGGGAAAGGGAAGGAGAUGGCAUUUUCCAGGAAAUCACAAACUAAGCAGAAACUCAAAAGAAAAAUACAACCAAGUGCCAACUAUUUUUUGACAGAAAUGUGAAUUUAAAAGUCAAGCACCCAAGAA